UCGGCCAGGCCGCACAAACAACACUUCCCAUCCCUGAUUGACUGCAGGGAUCCCCUACGAACGGCGACAGCAGCCUCUGGAGGAGCGUCCCCGCUCCACCAUAGGCUCGGAGGCUACUGUUGGGGGGAAAUAUUAAGGACCUCCCAAAGCCUAUGAAAACAACAAUCAUAAAGACCCAGGCCCACCUAAGGUAAUAAAGACUGUCGUCGGCCCAACACGGGAGGGGAGAGCCCCGCUCCGCCUCGCCGGACCUAGUGCUCCGAGGUCAGACGCUCCCGACCCCAUGACGACCAAACUCCGCCUCGCCCGACCCAAGGGCCUAGGGUCGGGAGCACCCGACCCCCCGCCCCAAGACUCCACCUCGCCCAACCCAGGACGCAGGGGGUCGGACUCAUCCAGGCCCACAAGACAAAUAUCCGCCUCAGGCGCAGACUAGAAGAUCAGGGCACGGACCUCGUGGGUCCCCCUGUCGACCUCGCCAUAAAUGCGCCGCGGCUCUGACGCGCAGAAAGGCGCUCGCACCCCCGACGCGACCCGCCACAAGUACCCAUGCGCGACCGUGCGGUGCAGGCUACAGUGGCCGCGGCUCCCUCCGAUUCGCUAUAGGGCACUCAUGGCCUGCGCCGACCGGCACAAGAGGAAGUCCCGUCCGUUCCCGCACCCCGCGCAUUCGGCGACAGGGACGCAACGUCCGCGUCCCA
rnacentral:lncRNA from 1 species